UCUGCUGUCACAGUCUGAGGGAGUAAUCCAAAACUAAGGCCGAAACUUAGCGCGAGUUGUUCGC
rnacentral:tRNA from 1 species